rnacentral:tRNA from 1 species
AGCCGAGUAAUUUAACGGUCAAAAUGCUGGUCUUAUAAACCAGUCAGUAGUGGUUCAACUCCACUCUCGGCUA